GCCACGGUGAAUACGGUCCCGGGCCUUGUACACACCGCCCGUCACACCAUGGGAGUGGGUUGCAAAAGAAGUAGGUAGCUUAACCUUCGGGAGGGCGCUUACCACUUUGUGAUUCAUGACUGGGGUGAAGUCGUAACAAGGUAACCGUAGGGGAACCUGCGGUUGGAUCACCUCCUUACCGUAAAGAAGC
rnacentral:rRNA from 1 species